rnacentral:rRNA from 1 species
GGGAAUAUUGCGCAAUGGGCGAAAGCCUGACGCAGCAACGCCGUGUGAGGGAUGAAGGCUUUCGGGUCGUAAACCUCUGUCGGAAGGGAAGAACGGGCAUUGGUCUAAUAGGCCUUUGUUUUGACGGUACCUUUAGAGGAAGCACCGGCUAACUCCGUGCCAGCAGCCGCGGUAAUACGGAGGGUGCAAGCGUUAUUCGGAAUUACUGGGCGUAAAGCGCACGUAGGCGGCCUUGUAAGUCAGGGGUGAAAUCCCACGGCUCAACCGUGGAACUGCCUUUGAAACUGCAGGGCUUGAAUCCUGGAGAGGGUGGCGGAAUUCCUGGUGUAGGAGUGAAAUCCGUAGAUAUCAGGAGGAACACCGGUGGCGAAGGCGGCCACCUGGACAGGUAUUGACGCUGAGGUGCGAAAGUGUGGGGAGCAAACAGGAUUAGAUACCCUGGUAGUCCACACCGUAAACGAUGGAUACUAGGUGUCGGGGACUUGAUCUUCGGUGCCGUAGCUAACGCGUUAAGUU